rnacentral:tRNA from 1 species
GGGGGUAUGGCUCAGUGGUGGAGUACCUACUCAGAAAGUAUGAGACCCUGUGUUCAAAUCCAGUACUGUCA